AUGAUGCGAGGUUAAGUUGAAGAGACGGAGCCGUAGGGAAACCGAGUCUGAAUAGGGCGCUUUAGUAUUAUGUCGUAGACCCGAAACCAUGUGACCUACCCAUGAGCAGGUUGAAGGUGCGGUAAGACGCACUGGAGGACCGAACCAGGGCACGUUGAAAAGUGCUUGGAUGACUUGUGGGUAGCGGAGAAAUUCCAAACGAACUUGGAGAUAGCUGGUUCUCUCCGAAAUAGCUUUAGGGCUAGCGUCGACAUUAGAGAUUCUUGGAGGUAGAGCACUGUUUGGGUGAGGGGUCCAUCCCGGAUUACCAAUCUCAGAUAAACUCCGAAUGCCAAUGAAUUAUGGUCGGCAGUCAGACUGCGAGUGCUAAGAUCCGUAGUCGAAAGGGAAACAGCCCAGACCACCAGCUAAGGUCCCAAAAUAAUUGUUAAGUGGAAAAGGAUGUGGGGUUGCACAGACAACUAGGAUGUUAGCUUAGAAGCAGCUAUUCAUUCAAAGAGUGCGUAAUAGCUCACUAGUCGAGUGACCCUGCGCCGAAAAUGUACCGGGGCUAAAACAAUUUACCGAAGCUGUGGAUACCUUUAUAGGUAUGGUAGGAGAGCGUUCUAUGUGUGGAGAAGGUAUACCGUGAGGAGUGCUGGAACGCAUAGAAGUGAGAAUGCCGGUAUGAGUAGCGAAAGACAGGUGAGAAUCCUGUCCACCGUAAGACUAAGGUUUCCAGGGGAAGGCUCGUCCGCCCUGGGUUAGUCGGGACCUAAGGAGAGACCGAAAGGUGUAUCCGAUGGACAACAGGUUGAUAUUCCUGUACUAGAGUAUGUAGUGAUGGAGGGACGCAGUAGGCUAACUAAAGCAGACGAAUGGAAGUGUCUGUCUAAGCAGUGAGGUGUGAACUGAGUCAAAUGCUUAGUUCUAUAACAUUGAGCUGUGAUGGGGAGCGAAGUUUAGUAGCGAAGUUAGUGACGUCACACUGCCAAGAAAAGCUUCUAGCGUUAAACAUACUCUACCCGUACCGCAAACCGACACAGGUAGUCGAGGCGAGUAGCCUCAGGUGAGCGAGAGAACUCUCGUUAAGGAACUCGGCAAAAUGACCCCGUAACUUCGGGAGAAGGGGUGCUGACUUUAAGUCAGCCGCAGUGAAUAGGCCCAAGCAACUGUUUAUCAAAAACACAGCUCUCUGCUAAAUCGUAAGAUGAUGUAUAGGGGGUGACGCCUGCCCGGUGCUGGAAGGUUAAGAGGAGUGCUUAGGAGUAAUCCGAAGGUAUGAAUUGAAGCCCCAGUAAACGGCGGCCGUAACUAUAACGGUCCUAAGGUAGCGAAAUUCCUUGUCGGGUAAGUUCCGACCCGCACGAAAGGCG
rnacentral:rRNA from 1 species